rnacentral:misc_RNA from 1 species
GAUGAAGAACGUAGUGAAAUGCGAUAAUUAAUGUGAAUUGCAGAAUUCAGUGAAUCAUCGAGUCUUUGAACGCACAUUGCGCCCCCUGGUAUUCCGGGGGCAUGCCUGUCCGAGCGUCAUUGCUGCCCUCAAGCACGGCUUGUGUGUUGGGCUUCCGUCCCUGGCAACGGGGACGGGCCCAAAAGGCAGUGGAGGCACCAUGUCUGGUCCUCGAGCGUAUGGGGCUUUGUCACCCGCUCCCGUAGGUCCAGCUGGCAGCUAGCCUCGCAACCAAUCUUUUUAACCAGGUUGACCUCGGAUCAGGUAGGGAUACCCGCUGAACUUAAGCAUAUCAAUAAGCGGAGGA